GUGCGGAGUAAACCUACACUGAAGCUAAGUAACUGUCUCUGAGUCAUUAUUCAUUAUUUCUGUGUGCUGGAAACUGAAAAGGGAUCGAACCAACCUAAUACUAUAUUUAAUACAGUCCUUUCUAGAAAAUCCAGUUUCCUCACAUUUGGUCCUUCUGAGCCGGCCGACUGACGCCCUGGACAUCGCUGGAACCCCUGGGGGGGGGUUGCCUGAAAACCGCAUGCGGUCUGAGAUCACAGCCUCAGCAUUGACACAUCCGCCUUCAGGAUCGGCGGCCCUCGCCCUUUGGAUCCGGCGGUGCCCCCGACGUCGUGUCGGACCCUCAUCAAAUAACGAGGUUCAUUGCUUGAAACUCUGAAGCCAGAUCAGGAGAUCUCUGUCGGUGACCUCAUUUUUCUCAAGGCCGUUCAACGGACUGUUUGGUCACAACCCAGGUGGACAGGACCUUUCAAAGUUCUCCUCGCCACACCAACGGCAGUCCGCAUUGCUGAGCGACCCUCCUGGAUUCACGUAAGCAACUGUAAAUUACUGAGAGCCUACGAGACUGACAUUGUGAGACACUCCACUGACUAAACUCCCGCUGAGAGCCCUGACACUGCCCCUGGCUGAAGAGCGCCCUCUGGAGUGUCUCCCCUGACGUUGCUCUCCUCCAGCUACAGUGAGCUUAGAACCAGCUGACAUGGGUCCGCCUCCCCCUCGUGUUUUCAUCUGCCUGUGGUCUGCCCUGCUGCUCCUGUGCGCUCUCACCCUUUUCCUCUGGUACUAUGAGACUGGUCCACAAAUCCACUCCCAGUCCGAACCGACAGUGAUGCCAACGACGCCUGAAUGGAUUCCCAGAGUUAAGAGAUUUUUGGUGGAUCCCAUUGAUCAUCAGGACAAUUACUGGUUUCAGACGGUUAACCUCACAGCUUCUUCUUACAAUGUCACUGAUUGCUAUGUUUGCUCUUUUGUUCCCCAUCAUGCACGUCACAAUCCCACAAUCACGCCCAGGUCUGUUUCUAUGUUUCAGACGCUGAUGUUUUUUGUUGACUUUACCUCUGCUUACUGUAGUAUUGGUGUUAAAAGACUUUUUCCUGGUGUUAACAUUUCUUUUUCUGCCCAGUCGACAUGGAGACAACCUGCCCACUUUUCCAACGCCACUAACAGCACAAACUUAAGGGGUUUGGCUCUCAACAGGUGGCCUGAAACUACACCCUUCUGCAUUAGGAGUAAAUGUGAUGCCCGUUCUACCCAUUUCCUAGGCCGAUCCCACUGUAAGGAUGUUGUCGUCGUUCCUGGUUCAAACUUAUCUGUUGCUUCUUUAGGUGGCAUGCAUUGGAGCUACGACGCCUCCAUGCUUUCUAAACACAACCCUCUCCCUCAUGCUUUGAUCUUCAAUUACACUGCCAUAGGCAUUCGUGCUGGUUUACGUACACCAGCUUCUGUUCCAGCUGCACUCACUUACGUUCCAGGACCACAGGGUUUUCCCUGUCCUCCUGAGUAUGUUUGGACAUGCGGCCUUAACACCUAUCUGUGGCUUCCUGCAGAUUGGUGCGGCACCUGUUACCUGGCUGAAAUUAUUCCUGCGUCUCUCGUUUUUCAGAAGUCUGACCCAGACACUGCUUCGUCUAUUGAUCAUCUGUCCAGGCGUCGUCGCGACACUACCCAUUACGAACGCCCCCCUGCUAUUGGCACCGGUAAAACAGUUGCCAUGGCGCUUUUCCCUUCCUACGGUGUUGUUGUUUUACAUAACGCAGUAAAUGAUUUAUAUUGGUCCCUUGAUAAUCUCACCGCGUCCCUUUUGCAUCUGACAGAAUUUCUUCAUGAAGACCCCGAACGAAAGGCUAUGACAACAAUGAUCUUACAGAACAGGAUGGCGCUUGAUUUCAUUUUAGCUGAGCGUGGAGGUGUUUGUGCUUUAAUCCACGAUUACUGUUGUACUUUUAUUCCCUCUUCCUCCGCGAAUCUCACUCACAUCAUCAA